GCGAAUCGCCCUUCGGGGUGCCCAGGCGCGAAACCUCCACAAUGCGCGAAAGCGUGAUGGGGUUAUCCCGAGUGCUGUCCGUAAGGAUAGCUUUUCUCCAGUGUAAGUAGCUAGAGGAAUAAAGGGGGGGCAAGUCUGGUGUCAGCCGCCGCGGUAAUACCAGCCCCCUGAGUGAUAGGGACAUCUAUUUAGCCUAAAGCGUCCGUAGCCGGCUUAGCAAGUCUUUCGUUAAAUCUGGCGACUUAAUCGUCAGGCCGCGGAAGAUACUACUAGGCUAGAGGGCGGGAGAGGUUGACGGUAGUCCCGGGGUAGGGGUGAAAUCCUAUAAUCCCGGGAGGACCACCAGCGGCGAAGGCGGUCAACUAGAACGCGCCUGACGGUGAGGGACGAAAGCUGGGGGAGCAAACCGGAUUAGACACCCGGGUAGUCCCAGCUGUAAACGAUGCGGGCUAGGNUGUUGGAGCAGCCACGAGCUGCUCCAGUGCCGCAGAGAAGUUGUUAAGCCCGCCGCUUGGGAAGUACGGCCGCAAGGCUGAAACUUAAAGGAAUUGGCGGGGGAGCAC
rnacentral:rRNA from 1 species